rnacentral:rRNA from 1 species
UACGGAAGGGGCAAGCGUUGUUCGGAAUCACUGGGCGUAAAGGGCGCGUAGGCGGCGUUUUAAGUCGGGGGUGAAAGCCUGUGGCUCAACCACAGAAUGGCCUUCGAUACUGGGACGCUUGAGUAUGGUAGAGGUUGGUGGAACUGCGAGUGUAGAGGUGAAAUUCGUAGAUAUUCGCAAGAACACCGGUGGCGAAGGCGGCCAACUGGACCAUUACUGACGCUGAGGCGCGAAAGCGUGGGGAGCAAACAGG